AUUGAACGCUGGCGGCAGGCCUAACACAUGCAAGUCGAACGAGUGGCGGACGGGUGAGUAAUGUCUGGGAAACUGCCUGCUGGAGGGGAAUAACUAUUGGAACCGGUAGCUAAUCCCGCAUACCAUCAGAUGUGCCCAGAUGGGAUUAGCUUGGUGGUUGGGUAACGGCUCACCAAGGCGACGAGCCCUAGCUGGUCGGAGAGGAUGACCAGCCACACGGGAACUGAGGAACGGGCCAGACUCCUAAGGGAGGCAGCAGGGGGGAAUAGUGCACAAUGGGCGCAAGCCUGAUGCAGCCAGGCCGCAUGUAUGAUGAAGGCCGUAGGGUUGUAGAGUACUUUCCGCUGGGAGUCGUUAGCCGCAGAAGAAGCACCGGCUAACUCCGUGCCAGCAGCCGCGGUAAUUC
rnacentral:rRNA from 1 species